AGCUAACUUACUUAGAGAACGGGCUUAUGGGGAUCUCCCCUUCCAGGAAGAUGAGAACUGCUAUAAGGAUUCAGGAAAACCCCUGAGGCCCAGGAUGUGGAGAACUGGGCGCCCGUCCCUCACCGCAGGAUUAUUCUUCCAUCCCAGGGAGGAGAGCCACUUGAAUGUCCUGAAAGACACUGGGACUCCGAGGACAAGAUGGGUCAGUCAAGCCAUAACAGAGCAUGGAGGCAGUCCCUUUGUCCACCCUGUCAUCUUCUAGGAACUAGGAAGCACCCUUCCCGGGUCCCUGCUCCAGUGGACUUCCCCGGCUCUUCCUUCCCAGCCUUUGCUGUGGCAUUAGCCAUCUGGAAAAAGAGCUGCUGGUAGGACCUGGAACUUUUGUUCACACCCACAACCCUUCCCUCCAGAUAUCCAGUACUCUGCCUUCAGGGAGGAGACUUGAACUUUAGGCAACAGGAGAAAACCAAACCUUCAAGGGCUUUGGUUCCCUCCAAGGCCAAGGUUCCCAGGAUCCUUGGUUAAGAGGUAUGGGCCACUGCCUUCCGUUCCUCAGUCUUCUUUUCCCUGUUUGUCCCAGAGUUCUGCUAUAACCCCAAAGCUUUUCUGUUUACCAUCAACAUGGAAACUUGACUCUUUAUAUAGGUAUAUUUUCCCUCUUUUGUGCAUCAUCUUGUUCCCCAAAACUGCAUUUUCAUGAAGGAGGCUUGUGGGACUCAAGGGGCCUGGCCAGUCACCCAGGCUCCCCCAGAGCCUCUCAGACCACUGGUCACGUGGAGAAGUUUAAUAAAGACGUCAUUACUUCUUGA